CUGCAGUGGGCGAGCGACGCCGCCCGUGACUCAUUGUGGGAGGAGAUGCCGAUGAUAACACGACUUCCGCCGCCGAGCACCGCCGUGAGAGGAGCUACAGCGGGCCACCUACGCUGUACGCUGCCGGGAGCCCGGGAGGACCUACAGCGAUCUAGCCACGCUGACCGCGCGGCUGGAGGCCGGUCUUGGACCCGUGUGGUUGGCGGAGCCGUGGCGGGGGAGCUUCACCGGCUACGUCGCCGUGGUUUCACCGGAGUGAAACGCCGGACUUGUUCAGGAGACGAGACGACGCUGUUGCGACGCCUCUCUGCCAUCACCGGUGCUGCCAUGUUCGUCAAGCAUCCUGUGUGGCCCACAACAUGGGAACGCACCAGUUUCGUCGGUCGAUUCAGAUCCAGCUCCGUUCAGCGCGACCCGCUUCUUCUCUCGAGACAGCGAUGAGUUUUAUGCAAGCUAGAGACAGCUGCGGGCAGGCUGGCAAUCCGGAGAUGCAUGCGAGCUAUGAGUAAUUGGCCAUGAAUGAUACUCUGAUGAUGAUGCCACUUGUACUCCUACUAGUAGUAGAGAGGAUUGCAUGGCCGAUGGUAACCUGAAGUCCUGAACCGCCGUGCAUGACGUCUAUUUCCUGCCGGCAUCGUAACAAACCUGUCAAGCAUACACAAGCGAUGAUGAUGAUGGUGACGACGACAACGAUGAUGGUAUCAAGGACGACAAUGAUUUUGAUGGUCUACCAUGAGAGAAGCGACACGAGUCAUUGUAGUCGUUGAUUAAGAAUCAUAUGCUCUCAAAUACAAGGACUUAUGAUGGCGUUCCAUGACUGAAGAUUAUGAAAAAUACAUCUCUUUUUAAGUUGCUGCUUGAUUUCUGGUUAGAGAUGAACAAAUACAAUGUCUGUCUAGACUCCAGAGAGUGUUUUUGCUUCAUAAUUUCUUAAUGGUAUUGUGAAUUUGGAACUGUAUGUGAGGAUCAUGUUCAGUAUAUAUGGUUUUGAUUAAUGAA